UUUCUGUCGUGGUCAUCCGGCUCCGCUUUACAGUGGAUACUUGGUUCGCCCUUGGCAUUUUUCCGGUAUCUUUCCCCACUUAAUUGUGUGGGUUUGAUUUCCGGAACAUUUACUUUGAGAAAAAUAGAGUCUUUCAAGCAGGCUUGUCGCCUUGAAUACUGCAGCAUGGAAUAAUAAGAUAGGACUUUAGUUCUAUUUUGUUGGUUUCUAGGACUGAAGUAAUGAUUAAUAGGGACAGUUGGGGGCAUUCGUAUUUAACUGUCAGAGGUGAAAUUCUUAGAUUUGUUAAAGACGAACUACUGCGAAAGCAUUUGCCAAGGAUGUUUUCAUUAAUCAAGAACGACAGUAGGGGGUUUGAAGACGAUUAGAUACCGUCGUAAUCUCUACCAUAAACUAUGCCGACUAGAGAUAGGGAAACGCCU
rnacentral:rRNA from 1 species